UCCUUACGGAGACAUUUCUACAUCCACAUUCAGUGGGGUAAUUUCCGGGCUGGGCUCUGCUGGUGUGGACCUACCCGGGCCGGUACUUUCCUGAGUUUUUAAAAGUUCUGAGACCGAGCUACAUUGCUUUCCUGUGAGUUCCUUUACCAGCCGAACAUGACCAGCUCCAAAGAAAGCAUCCAGACGGCUGAUGGACGUGGCAGGAGGUAACUGCGACACGUCCUUCUUGGACCGAGCCAUGGCUUGCAAGGCAGCGGCAGUGACCGUGGACUCCACUUUCAUGUCUCUUAAGGCUCCUCCGUCCCCGGCUUUCCCCACCUUAGGUCCGCUUCCACAUCUCUCCACUGUGUGAACCUGCCAGCCCAGCUCUGAUCCACUUCCACAUCUAUCCGCCAUGUGAACCUGCCAACCCAGCUCUGAUCCACUUCCACAUCUAUCCGCCAUGUGAACCUGCCAGCCCAGCUCUGAUCCGCUUCCACAUCUAUCCACCAUGUGAACCUGCCAGCCCAGCUCCGAUCUGCUUCCACAUCUAUCCACCGUGUGAACCUGCCAGCCCAGCUCUGAUCCACUUCCACAUCUAUCCACCAUGCGAAUCCGCUCUGCUGGCCCCGGUCUGCUUCCACGUCUGUCCGCUAUGCGGACCUGCCGAGCUGGUACCAUUUGCCCGCAAAGGGGUCCCUGUUUAGAGCGCCAGGGCUGCACAGGAAUGUCAAGUCUCCAGCUCAUUAUGGGACCAUAUGACUACCCUGGACUUUGAACUCAGAUAAACUCCCUACUGAAUGAAAACGUGUAAAAUGCUUCCAGCAAAGACUAUUUUGCACCAGACUGUACUAAGAAGUGCAACAGAAUUUCAACACUUACAUUUCAGAGGCACAGAAGAGAAGAACCAUCCUUGUCCAGAGUGCAGCAUUUUGGGGGAGGCUCCAGAGUGCCUCCCCCAUACAACAGCAACAAUCAUAUCAACCUAUGGAAGCAUGCUGGUUGUGGUUUAGUUUGGGGAAUAAAACAUCCUGAUUCCAUAUAAUGAUGCAUGAGCUUCUGUCUAACCAAUGCACACAGUUUUGCUUCCAAAAGCAAAUUUUCAGAAGUCCCAAAAUCACAUAUUUAAAUCAGUAAAAUCGGGUCCAAGCUGACAAUGUUGGGAUAGAUCAGAAUUUCUGCAUGCUUUUUAGCCUGGAGAGAUACGAGAGUUUAUCUAAUAUUUGGAUAAAGAAAAAGAAAAUCCCAGCCCUGAUCAUUAGGAUAUUUUUCCCUAGGAGCAGAAUAUAUGGCUUGGACCCUGGCUCACCUCCUGUUUCCUUGUGGUUUUCACUGGAUAAAGCAUUCCUCUCCACUUCCUCCUGUGAACAUUUGUACCCUGUUGUGGGGCACUAAUCAGUAUCUCCUGCCCUCUGCCCCAGAGAGGCAUUUUAGCAAAAAGUGAAUUAAUUUCUAAAAGUCAUAAUUAGAUCUUAUAAGAUAGAGAUAGAGAGAUAGAGAUAUAGAGAUAUAGAGAUAGAGAGAGAUAGAGAUAGAGAGAUAGAGAUUGAUAGAGACAGAGAUGAUAGAGAUAAACAUGGAUCUGUUAACCCUUGUUUUGCCUUCCUAGGGAUCCAUGAGACACUAUCUCCUGUAUCAGAAUGGUGGCUCAUGAAGAGGGACAGCACUGGCAAAGGAGCCAAAGGGUGAUGCUGCACAUCCAGAAAUGCACUUUGGUUGUGGGAAAACUCUUCCAAUUAAUCCAUCCAACGGGGUGGUUUGGGAUUUGACUUCCAUCCUUGUAAGGGAGAUUACGAAGUUGAUUACGGAGAUUGAAAAUUUGAAGGGUUUUGAUCAGGGCAAAGCUCCAACCAAAGAGAGAGGCAAGUUUCAGAGGGAGAUGUAAAAUUUUCAGUGCCUCUGGUGGAAAGCCUCUAGAGGCACUUAAACGGAGUUCGAGAAGCAAUCUGCUCCAUCCAGCAGAAAACGAUGCACAUCCCUGAGGUGAGACAUUGCCAUCAUGUGGCCAUUCCAACUCUGCAGGAACACCAGCAGGGACAGGAGGAAUCGGAACGUUAUCCCAGAUUUUCAGCUUUUUCAAUUGUCUUCAGCACUGAGAGCCUACACGAGAACUGGUGAGGGGGUGACAUCCUCUCCUGACAACCCUCUCCAACCAAAAACACUCGUUUCCCCAGACCUGCCCUCCUUUAUGCCAGGGAGAAGAAGCAUUUUCUGUUUCCCAAGGCACAGCACUCAAUGCCAGGGUGACAUUGCACUGCACAGAAUACAGCACAACUGGCCAUCCAAAAUGAACAGAAACACCAGAAAUGCCAAAUGGAACAUUCCUGAUGUCAGGAAGCCAGUCUUCAGGAGUAAUCUGAAUGAGAAUAGCACAAUGGCCAGGACCGGGAAGGAAAUAGAGCAAAUAUAUAUGUGAACAUAUAUGAGGACAAUAUACAAAAGUUAGUAUAGAGUCAGGAGUGGAAAGCAAAGCAAAUUAACCAAAUGAUGAAUUUAAGGAAAAAAAAAUAUACUGACAGAGCGCAAAACAUGGUGGAAUGCAGAAGUGAGCUGUGAUAAAAUAUGCAGAUGGCAAUGUUUUACAGUGGAGCAGCAACAGAAUUAAACACAAUCCAGGAAAUAUGAGGGGAAAUGAGAGCAGCAACGACAAAUAAUUUCAUGCUUGAGCCAAAAGCUGUUCAUCCACACAAAAUUUAUGUUUGCCCUCCUCUGGCACCAUGGUAAAAAGCAUGAUUUGGCUUACUCGCAGAAUGGCCCACCACUUCCUGGAAUUACAGCCUCAGGGAGGGGGACACAAACUUCCUAAGAAAGGGAAAACCUUGAUGCAGAAAUACAACAGGAGUUUUCUGUCCAGCUGGCACACCAGGCAGAUAAACACACAAAUAAUUUGUAAAGAAACUCUGUUGGAUGUUCCUUAGAACACCCAGAUUUCAGCUAUAACAAUAUUGUAGCAAAACUUCACUAAUAAAAAAGGGCAAUGGUAUCACUUGAGAAAUGAAACAAAAUAUUGACAGGCACAGACCAGCAGCUCAGCUCCCACAGUUGCCUGGCCCUGCAAAGGCAAAUUCUGUUUGUGUUCCUGUUUCCCAGCAACUGGCACCUGGAAACACCUAAAAGAACCUGCCUGCUGCCACCAUCUCAACUGGGGCCAAACCCCUGCACUGGGAAAGAUUCUUCUGCACUGAAGUGCCCAAACCAGGGAGGAACCUUCUUCUGCACUACAGAAUUUGCAAAGAAAAAUUGCAAGAGCCUGUCACCCUGAAAACUCAGCUUCUGAGCUUGCUGAUAUAGUUUUCUAAGACUUUCCCAGGACAGUAACUGAAAACAUAGAGAUAGGUAUACAUUCCUGUUACACAUCUUGUGAUGGACAACUCCCAUGGCCAGUGGAGUGGGAAAGUGUUAUCCUGACCAUCCAAUCCCUGGCCAUGGUCAGAAACCUAUAAAUCCUGGGAGGAAAAAUAAACUUUCUCUUUCCU